CGUCCCUGGCAGUGUUCAAGGCCAGGUUGGAUGUGGCUGUGAGCAACCUGGUCUAGUGGAAGGUGUCCCUGCCUAUGUUGAAUGAUUCUGUGAUUCUAUGUUCUUAAAUGCCCCCCAGUUCGGUGAUACCCAAGAGGACCUGUAUUUGCUUUGCGGGGACCUCAUGGCCAAGUUACAGGCAGUGGGAGAGCUUCCUCAUAUUGCUGUAUCCCACAGAGACUGGUUUUCCAUCCAUCUCCCCCCCUCUGUACUAACACCCCCUCUUUUUCCCCCGCAGCUGGGCUGCUGAAGUGGUGAACAUCACAUCUUCCAUACUUCCAAACCUCCCCCUGCACCCUAGGUGUGAGAGCAGCAGGUCGGCUGGGGUCUGUUCUUCAUUGUAGUGUAACACCGUGGCAAAAUCCUCAUGUCUGGCAAACUUAGGCAGUUUAGAAAGGCGUUAUGGCUGCAAAUAUCCGCAGCCCCAAAGUAAUGUCGAAGGAGUUAAAUGCUCAUGCUCCCCUGUGCCAGACUGCCUGGCUGAGAGCGCUUGCAGCAAAGUAUGUGCCAUAGAGAAGUUUCUGCGCUGAGUCACAAGUAUUGAGCACCACUCGGUUUCAACCCUGUCACAUUUUAAGCAGGCAUGGGAUUUUUUUUAAUGGCAAUCUGGGAUACAGUGAUAUGCUAGGUACCACCCAGUAACUAAGCACCAUUCUCAUUGGUGGUUGCCACAUUAGCAGAAGGAUGCUGCAUCACUGUGUUGUUUAACUGAUGUCUAUGUCUUCCCUUGCUUCUAAUCACCAUAUAAUUUCAUUUCCCCCCCCCCCCCCCCCCCCAGUUUUGGCUCUGCAGGUUUCUCUGCUUCCCUCGGAAGACAGGGGUCUUCACAGGUUGCUACCUCUUGUUGUUAUAGUAGAAAACAGCACCUGAUUUUGUCUUCUGGCUUUGACUAUUCUGCCCUCAGACCUGAGUUGUUGUCUUGCAAGCACCUUGCAUUCCCUGCACAACAUCAGUGUACCGAUUCUAGAAGAUGGCAUCAAAAAGUGACAUUUUUCUUCUGUCUAAACCAUUCAGAUGAUGCCAUGUGUGCAGAUACUCCACACCUCAAAUGAGGGGUGGUCUUUGAGACCUCCCUGUACAAAAUUUUACACCAGCUGCAAUAAACCAGCUCCCCAGAACUCUAAUAGCAAAACAAAACGUGUGUUUCUACGAUAAUUUCGCUCACAGCACCGUUUGCAGCAACAAGACCUUGAUAACAGUGGUAGCAGAUAACAGGAGGUUUGUUCUGGUCACUGGGUGUUUGCUUCUGGCUGUGAGAAAGAUUGUCCCGUUCAUCCAUUCCCAAUAGCCUUUAUUAUGGCUGAAUUGAUCCAUGCGGUGUCAUUUGCACAAAAGCUGUUAUAGGGGAAAAGUGCCAAGGGGUCUCACUCACUGGGUGACCUUUUGGGUGCCAAGCAUGAAGUCAUUUCAGAUGCCUGAAGGCUCCUGGCCUUUUUAAUUUUUUUUUUUUUUUUUUAUUUCAGUGGUGUGUGUGGAGAAAUACCUGAACAAAACAUGUUUCCAGCUGACAUCUUCCCUGGGCAUUUUGCAUCCUAGCAGCAAAACGAGUCUGGAUGGAGCCUGGAAGCAGCCGUGGCCGAUGGAGGGAUCCAGCCUGCGGUCAUCUCCCAGAGCCGUGUGAGGAGCCAUGAAUGGUGGCAACCAGCAUGACUCCAGUCUCAGAUGUGACGGAGGAGAAAAAGGCAGAGGGAAAAGAACUGUGAUUUCCCUGGAGGGGGGCGAAUUCUCCAUCCGUGGUAUCACGCAGGUAUGCCGUGAUGCACGAACAAGGAAGGACAGGCUAGAGAGGCCACAGCUGCAGCUUUCCCACAGGGCAUGGAGGAGAGAGACUCCCUUGAUCCCGGUUUGUAAUCCCUGUUUAAUACUCCCAGCGAAAAGUUCAAAAUCCACAGGGUCUCCUGCCAACACAUCGAGGCGGGGGGGAAAUUCCUCUGGUGCUUUUGGGUGGAAAGAAUGACAUCUGCGAGGCCUCGGCGGAGGUCCAGCACGGGUGACGGCAGGUCGGAUUGCAAACCCCUGCAUCCCGUACCUUCCCGGGAGCUAGGCUAUGGGGGGACGAGAUGGGGUCCUUGUGGACAGCCACAGCUCCGGGGCAGGACUUUGCCAUCCCUGGGUGGCAAGCUGGGAGGACGCACGUGGCCGCCAGGUCCCGUGCUCUUUCUACACUGAUACAGGAGCUCUGGUUUGGGAUCGUGGCAAACCAACAAGACGUGGGGCUCUGGGGUACGCUUUCCAGGCUGGCUGGAUGCGCUGCCUUGGACUGGUGAUAUUCGGUCCUCACCCCCUCCCUUCUGCCUCGCAGUGACUGCGACCGUCUGGAUCCACCCGAAAAUUAACCGAAAGAAAAAGAAAGUGGUUAGUUUUUCAGCCACGUCAGCCCCACGAACGCCAGGGCCAUCUCAAGGGCAGGCUGCGAGAGCGGGACGAGACCGGUGAUUUGGGACGCUGUAGCUUCAGUUUCCCCACUGUGAGGAGGCUGAGGCAGGCAGCAAGGAACGCGCCAUUUCCAGUUUUUGACCCUUUAUUACAAAAUACGAGCAAAGAAGGCCCAGGACCAGGGUGGUCCGUCUGCUCAGUCAUGCACAGAGUGGGGCUGCAAAGGGGAAUCUCUGACGUCUCGUUAAAAAGCUGAAUUCCUGUCCGCUGCGAUGUUAAAGCUCUUCCUGGCUGCCUGUUUUCAAGAAGCAUAUGGGAACUUAAAAGGUUUGAGCUCUCUGCCUCUCCUUUAAAUUUGGUUGAAGCUGUCAGACAGCUGAGAGGAGGCGCAGACCCACAUGCCCCCCCUCCCCUGCAGCGCAGCAAUUUUUCAGGCCUCUUCUGAGGAAACGGGAUGUAAAAGGAAACCAUUUAUUCUGGAGCCAGCCGAAGGAACAGAAACGCCCCUAAAACCGACCCUUGCUUGGAAAGAGAUCCUCCGCCAGCCAGUCUUCUGCUUCCAGCGCAUUGCUGCUCUGGGGCGGGCAGCGGGGCGGGUUCAGCGUGUGCACGCGUGUGCACGUGUGUGCAUGCGUGUGCACGCCCGCUUGUGCGUAGGCACACAAGUUACACAACUGCCUGCUUCGCCAAUCUUACCGAUGUCCCUCAAAGUGGCUUGGUUGUUGGAAAUCAGGUCCCCAGCAAGCCGAGCUGCAAAACUCUGCCACUGGUGAUGCUGGUGGGGGCCGAAUGCAGGAGAGGGCUGGGGGUUUUGCUGCGUUGUGGACUUCGGGGUGCUUGGUGCGGCAGUUUUAAGGCAGGAAAGGAGGAGGGGAGAGAUGAAUCUGAGGAAAGACACGCUGGGCUCGGCACCCCCCCCUGCACCGGGCAGCGGUCCAGCAGGAGUAAACGGCGUGUACAUUUCUCAUCGCCCACGUGUUGCAGAUAUGUAAGCAAAGGGAUGCUUAGGAAGGGGCUUGGCAGCCUCUUCGUCUUUUCUGCUCUUACAGAGGCAACAGAAAAGCUGCCCAGAGAGAUACAACAGGAGAAGGGGCUUCAUCCUUCCCCGUGUCCAGGGACCAGAGGCUCUUGGUUGCCCCAACCCUCGUGACAUUGUUGUGCUGAUCUGGUGGGACCAAACCAGUUUGUGUCUAGACCUGAGCUGCUGCGCCUUUGCUUGGGUUGACAGAACGCACCCACGUGGGAGGCAAAUGUCACGCCGGUCGGGUCCCUUCACGUAGGUCCAAACUGGGUGAGGAAGCAUAACCCUUGUGGCAGUUUAGGAUGUAUCUGCAAAAGGCCAAGACCAGUCUCCAAGGCAAGGGGACCGGCUGGUGGAGGGUUGAGCAUGCGUUGAUGAGAACAGAGAUAAGGCAUCUGAGAGUUUCUUUGCUCUCUGUGUCGUAAGAGUGGUUGAGCUCAAGUAAGAGUUACCCAUUUGAACUUAAUUUGGCCUUUCCAAGCUUUUUAGUGCUUUUUGCAACUUUAAUGCCACUUCUGAUGUCGUUUUGCAGUGCA